rnacentral:rRNA from 1 species
CUGCGAGUGAAGCGGGAAAAGCUCAAAUUUAAAAUCUGGCAGCGGUUGGCUGUCCGAGUUGUAACCUAGAGAAGUGUUGCCCGUGCUGGACCGUGUACAAGUCUCCUGGGAUGGAGCAUCAUAGAGGGUGAGAAUCCCGUCUCUGACACGGACUACCAGUGCACUGUGGUAUGCUCUCAAAGAGUUGAGUUGUUUGGGAAUGCAGCUCUUAAUGGGUGGUAAAUUCCAUCUUAAGCUAAAUAUUGGCGAAAGACCGAUAGCGAACAAGUACCGUGAGGGAAAGAUGAAAAGAACUUUGGAAAGAAAAUUAAACAGUAUGUGAAAUUUUUGAAAAGGAAACGUUUGAAGUCCGUCCUGUUGGCCAGGGAUCAAGCCCGCUAUUUUUGGUGGGUUUCUUCCUGGUCAUGGGCCAACAUCAGUUUUUGUCCUGGAGAAAGCAUUGGGAAUGUGGCACCCCUUUUGGGUGG